rnacentral:rRNA from 1 species
CCUACGGGAGGCAGCAGUGAGGAAUAUUGGACAAUGGGCGCAAGCCUGAUCCAGCCAUGCCGCGUGCAGGAAGACGGUCCUAUGGAUUGUAAACUGCUUUUAUACAGGAAGAAACACCUCUACGUGUAGAGACUUGACGGUACUGUAUGAAUAAGCAUCGGCUAACUCCGUGCCAGCAGCCGCGGUAAUACGGAGGAUGCAAGCGUUAUCCGGAAUCAUUGGGUUUAAAGGGUCCGUAGGCGGUUUAAUAAGUCAGUGGUGAAAGCCCAUCGCUCAACGAUGGAACGGCCAUUGAUACUGUUAAACUUGAAUUAUUAGGAAGUAACUAGAAUAUGUAGUGUAGCGGUGAAAUGCUUAGAGAUUACAUGGAAUACCAAUUGCGAAGGCAGGUUACUACUAAUAUAUUGACGCUGAUGGACGAAAGCGUGGGGAGCGAACAGGAUUAGAUACCCUGGUAGUCCACGCCGUAAACGAUGGAUACUAGCUGUUCGGAGCAAUCUGNGUGNGAGAGAAGAGAGUAAGUAUCCGACCGUGGGUAGGUACGUUCGUUACGAAGAAGUUAGUAACGUUACGAAGAGUAGUUAGGAGNGAGAGAGCGACGACGACGACGACGGAGGAGGAGG